rfam:Gossypium arboreum cultivar AKA8401 contig_94331_1, whole genome shotgun sequence.
GAAAGCCGUAUGCUUUGGAAGAAGCUUGUACAGUUUGGGAAGGGGUUUUGAUUGAUCGAUCAAAAAGAAGAAUCUACUUCAAC